rnacentral:rRNA from 1 species
AGAGUUUGAUCAUGGCUCAGAACGAACGCUGGCGGCGUGCCUAAUACAUGCAAGUCGAACGAGAAAGUGUAGCAAUACAUUAGUAAAGUGGCAGACGGGUGAGUAAUACAUAGGUAACCUACCUCUAAACUGGGGAUAACCUUCCGAAAGGAGGGCUAAUACCGAAUGAGACCACAGUGACACAUGUCACAGGGGUUAAAGAUGGCCUCUACUUGUAAGCUAUCAUUUAGAGAUGAGCUUAUGCACCAUUAGCCUGUUGGUAAGGUAACGGCUUACCAAAGCUACGAUGGUUAGCUGAUCUGAGAGGUUGAUCAGCCACACUGGAACUGAGACACGGUCCAGACUCCUACGGGAGGCAGCAGUAGGGAAUAUUGCGCAAUGGAGGAAACUCUGACGCAGCGACGCCGCGUGGGUGAUGAAGGCCUUCGGGUCGUAAAGCCCUGUCGAAAGGGAAGAAACCCGGUAUGGCUAAUAUCCAUACCGAUUGACGGUACCUUUAGAGGAAGCACCGGCUAACUACGUGCCAGCAGCCGCGGUAAUACGUAGGGUGCGAGCGUUGUUCGGAAUCAUUGGGCGUAAAGCGUGAGUAGGUGGUUUGCUAAGUCGGGUGUGAAAUCCCUGGGCUCAACCCAGGAAGUGCAUUCGAAACUAGCUGGCUAGAAGAUGGUAGAGGAAGGUGGAAUUCCAAGUGUAGAGGUGAAAUUCGUAGAUAUUUGGAGGAAUACCGGCGGCGAAGGCGGCCUUCUGGACCAUUCUUGACACUGAGACACGAAAGCGUGGGUAGCAAACAGGAUUAGAUACCCUAGUAGUCC